UUGAAUGAGGUUUUAGGAUGUGUUGGUACUUUUGGUUGGGGUCCCGGGGGACUCGGGUGAGUUUCGGGUGGUCAAUCGGACCAUUUUCUAUGUUGAGAAGUUGCAAAAAUUUCAAAACCUGUUAUAGAUGAUUUUAGCCUUCGCGAUUGCGUGAGGUCCACCGUGAUCGCGUAGAAAGAAUGUGGGUUGGCCUGAGUUCGGCUUUUGUGUUCGCGUUUGCGGUCUCGCGUUUGCGGAGGGCCUUGACCUUGUGCUUCGCGUUCGCAUGCAGUGGUUCGCGUUCGCGUAUAAUUCUUUGGGGGUCCAGUGGAUUUGUUCUUUGCGUUCGCAUCAUCUGGUUCGCGUUCACGUAGGUCUGGAAAGUAAGGUAUCGCGUUCGCAUAGUAGGUAUCGCGUUCACAUAGUGCAUUUGGGAGUCUUGGAAUUUUUGCUCUUCGCGAUCGCGAGGCUUGGGUCGCGAUCACGAUGAAGGAAGUUCAGAGCUGGGCAGAAAGUUUAUAAAACAUUUCAUCCGCGAUUUUGAGCCAUUAUUCCUCCAUAGCUGAGUAUUUUGAGAGCUCUUUGAGGGAAAUUGAAGAGGGAUUCAUGGAGAGUUGAUUGGAGGUAAGAUUUUUGAACCUAAAACGUGAUUCUAUUGUGAAAAUUACCUAGAAAUUCAUGGAAUUAGGCUAAAACUAGAAGAACUAGGGCUUGGGAUUUUGAAACUUUUAAAUUGAGAUUAAGGACCAUUUGAGGUCGGAUUUGAGAACUUUUUAUAUGUAUGAACUCGUGGAAGGAUAAGGAACCCGUUGAUGUAAAAAUUUCUAAGUUUUGACAAGUGGGACCGGGUCUCGGGUUUUGGUAAUUUCGGGAUUUGUGCCCGUUAUUAAUUGUUUUCUCUUGGGGUUUGUUCCCUCAGCAUAUUGUGAUGUAUUCGUUCUUAUUUUGGAUAGAUUCGAUGCACGUGGAGGCCGAUUUGAGGGGCAAAUGCGUCGCGAGCUAGAGAUUUCGCCGGUUCGAGGUGAGUAAUGAUUGUAAAUGAUAUCCUGAGGGUUUGAAACCCCGAAUUUGCACAUCGUAGUGCUAUAUUGAGGUGAGACACGCUCUUGAUGAUGAGUUGGGGAUUGUGACUUGGUCCGUCAUGAUUGACGUUUUUNNNNNNNNNNNNNNNNNNNNNNNNNAAGUAUCAUACUUAAUCAUCUAUUACAUUUGCAAAGAAAUUCAAUGAUUUUCAUUAAGAUUACUAUCAAUAGAUGAUCCUCUUACGCCCAUAGGUGAAAUGGAUACGCUAGCUGCAUCACUUGGCUGCAAAGAAAUAAAAAGCAUUUAAAGUUUUUUUCUUUUAGUUUUUCAAAUUAAAAAACUACAUAUAGCUAGAUUUUAUUUACUGCUGCCGGAGGAGAAACGAAAAUCCCAGCAAACUGUUCAGGUAUUGUCCCUUCUUUCAUAAUCAUAUAUGUCUUGAAAGCAUUCAUCAUUUGGAGGUGUGCAGUCAUCAUUUGAGUAUAGUUCUCUUGGCUUUGAUUGUGAGCAUUUACAAUCUGAUUGUACUUCUCUUCGCAUUUGGACGAACAUAAACCAUUAUCACAACUAGAAGAAUUUAUACCUCCAAAAUGACGUCUUGUUUGUCUAAAAACAUUACUCGGGAUAGCUCCUAACCCCAAGCACCUUAUCCUUCCAGAAUGCUCUUUUCCUAGCACCUUACCAACAACAUCAUUUGGUGAAACUUCAGACUCAUCUGUGGCGCUUUGACUUACAACUAGCUCAAUGUUUUCCUAAUUAUAAGAUACACAAUAGCUAAUGAGUUCUUUUAUGUUUCAACACACAAAAGAAUGCAGCAAGCAUAAUCUAAGAAACAAUAAUUAGAUUUUAAUGAUUUCAUUUGGCAACAAUCUCUGAAUCUAGUUGAAGACAGGUAUAUCUAGAGGAAAACAAUUUCUGAAAGUUCCAUUUCUUUUACAUAAUAAUUCCUGCAAAAUUCUGGUGCCUUUCCAAUACCAGUAACCAUGAUAAAGAAAUCAUUGAAGAUAAAUUUUAAUGACUGCAUUUGGCAACAAGAAGCAUACAUAGAAGUACAGUAGAAUAGAGUACAUACAGACUCUCAUCAUCACUAUAAUCAUGUCAAACAAACUAACAAUUACCUUAUUCUUCUUGUUUCUGAACAUAUCUUUAUUCCUUACUGUCAUUUCUGGUUUAAAUCAAGAAGGGCUUUCUUUAAUGUCAUGGCUUUCCACUUAUAACUCUUCCUCUUCUGUUACAUCCUUCUCUUCAUGGAAUCCAAGUCAUGGAAAUCCAUGCAAAUGGGCUCAUGUUACUAUACUCAGCACCAUAUGAGAAACCUAUGUGAAAAGGGUGAAAUUGUAGCGACUCCCUGUGGUCGCUACAGGCUUCAUGAUGCAAUUGCUGAUAUUAUUAUUCCCUAUUCUAGCCCAGUGCUUGCACUAGUUCUGAUUCUUUCUCCACUUUUAGCCUUAGUUCUAGCUGCAGCUCUGGCUCUAUCUUAAGUUCUGACACUAGUCCUAGGCCAAAGAAAAAGGGAAGGAAGAGGAAGCAGAAGAAGGAAUCAAUAAAGUAGAUAUAAUGAUAAUGGUGACAUUAUGUUUGACUUAGCUGGUCUGUUACAUGUUACAGUGGUCAUCAAUAGACAAAAAUGGAACAGAUAUAGACUCUGUAUCCUAAUUAGAAUACAAAGUCUGUCAAAUGAGAAUGACAAGUUCAGAGCUUGGAUGGAGUUAUCAGUUGGAGUUAACGAAUGUCAACAAAAGCUGGAGAUGACGAUAAUAGAUUUAUUCUAGUGUGAGAUGAAGCCUACAUAAUACUAGCAUUGUUUGUCACUCCAUCAUUUUAUAAUAGCACUAUUUUCUCUUGAAAGGAAAGCUUGCUGAAGUUUAAUAUGCUCAAGAUGCUAUUACUUUUAGAAAACAUCACGAGACUAUUUUCACAAGGCUUUCUGAAAUUAAAGUUGAGCAAAAUUAAAGAAGAAUUCCCAGUCAAUGCAACAUAUGGAGAACAAAUAAUAGGCUAUGUUUCCUCUUUACAUCAAAAUUAGUUUCAUUUUGCUAUCUCCAUUAACCUGGUACUCCACUUGAAACAGUUUAACAAUCAGUUGAAAGAUUGAAAUCUUAUUAACUUGAUGUUAGGAUAAAGCUUUUAACAAGUAGAAACUUACACAUAUUUCUCUUGCUGCUUCAUUAAUAUAUGACCCAUCUUCCUUCUUAUGAGUAGCAAGAUAGAGUUGCGCUCGUCCAGGGUUUUUGUCCAGAUUCAGCCAUCUAUAAAUGAAAAAUCAAGUCAGAAUAACUUGACAAAAGAGGAAUAGUUUGCAAGUUUAAUUAAAGUAAAACAUAUUGAAUUAACAUUUAUCACCAUUUUAGCUCUUCUUCUGGAGUUUGGUUUGGAACCACCAGUGUGUGCAACAGUUUGUUUCUUCCGAAUUUCAGCAUUUCUUUUACUCAUUUCCUUAUAAAAAUACACAUAACUCAAAUAUACAAACAAAAAAGUAUAUAAUUACACAUACUAAUUGAAGCAUUCAAAUAAAUACCAUUAUCUUUUCAUUAAAAUAGUAAGCAACAUAAGAAGUCCAUUGAUCCCGUGGAAUCCCUGGUGGAACAUUAUCCAUAAUCUCUGCUUUGGUCUUAAGUGGGUCAAUGAACUCAUACCACAACCUUUGCCUUCCUGAACUCCACUUUUUUUCCAAUAGAACUAUAAACAUAUGCUCAUGCAUUUAACUCAGCUGUCUUAAAACAGAAUCGUGGCUACAUGAAUAAAACUUCUUUUAGCUAAUUUAUUACAUACAAAUAUACAGUCUAACGACAUAAAAUAGAGUUACAACAAUAAGAAAAUAGAGCUUAUACUUUUAUAAUUUGAUCAAAGCAACAAUUGAAGUAUGACUUAGGUAAAUCUGGCCAUUUGUUGAAGUGAAUUGGAAAUAAGGAGCAGUGGGUUGCUAAAAUUCCACAAAAGCCUGCAAGAACACCUUGCCCUUCUCCAAUUGGUUGAUCCAUAUCAUCAAAUUCAACCACAAUACAUUUUCCGUCAGAUAAAUACAUCACAUCCUUAACCUUUACUUUGAGUUUUUUGGUAGCUCAUUGCGAAUCUUUAAAAAUAAACAUCAAGUUAAAAGAUCGAACUAACUUUUGUACAUAAAAUUCUGCAUAAACUUCAGCGUAUACUAUUCUAAGAAUUCAACAUGAAACAUCAAAAUACAGAUUAAGUUGAAAAUAAUUAUAACUAAACAAUAGAUUCCAAUUAUCAUAAUAAUCAGCUAUUUAACAAGAGACCAUCUGAUCUUCAACAGAUCGAAAAUCAACAUAUAAAAAUUAAUGGUAUAAGCAUAUGAAAAUUGAAAAGCUAAUCAGUUAAUCACUCUAUGCUAAAAUCACUAAAGUGAAAUAAAAAGUUCCAUCAUUUCCCAUCAUUCUGGCCAGAACAUUUCCCAUUUGCGAACAUGUCAAAAGUUCCCAUAUAAAACUAGGAAAGGUGUUAAAACAUCCAAUCUUCUUCAUGUAGUAAGGCAAGUCAAAUAAUGGGAAAUGACAGUCUAAGAAACUGGAGUUAUCUAUAAAUUUAUCGCUUCCUGACAAAUGCAAAUAGAAUAUGAUAAAGCAUUUUACCUAUAAUCAAUAGUUGAGAUAACCAUUAAAAAAUCAUAAACUUGUGAAAAAAAUUCGCCAGCAUUUCGGCGCUUUAUGGACGUUUAGAAAGAAAAAGAAAAAGAAAAAGAAAAAGAAAAGGAAUAGUGAUGCUUGAAUGAAUCAAGAAAAGAAUUACCUAUUGCAUCAUUUGUCCAAUGUUGCGGACACUCCCGUCUAGGACGCUUUUUGGAUUGUUUCGGUUGUGAUGCUACCUGAACUGAUGGGGCAGGCUGUGAUAUGGCCUGAAUUGAAUGAGCCGGCUGAGUUGCAGCCAGAUCUGACGGGGCCGGAUGUGAUGUGGCUUAAACUGAAUGAGUCGGUUGUGCUGCAGCCCGAACUGACGGGGCCGGCUGUGACGUGGCUUGAACUGAAUGAGCCUGUUGUGCUGUAGCCCGAACUGAUGGGGUCGGCUGUGAUGUGGCCUGAACCGAAUGAGUCGGCUAUGCUGUAGCCCGAACUGAUGGGGCCGGCUGUGAUGUGGCCUGAACCGAAUAAGUUGGUUGAACUGACUUUCGCAAGUUAUGGUAACGCUUGGCCCUUGGCAUAUCUGGAAUCAAUAAAAUACAAUCAGCAUGUUAGUUGCUCUACAGAGAGUACCUAAUUAACAGAAUCAUAUAGAAUUAGUGCUACGACGAAAUAAUAAAAUAAUCUAAUUACUUGCAAUCUAGAUCACACCUUGCAACUUCAAUUUAAGAAAUGAUUAGGAGAGUGAGUGACCAGUUUACUGCUAUGUUUAGGAGAAAGGCUUUCUAUAGAGCAGGAUGCAAGAGUUGAAGAAAAUAGUGAUUAUGAAAAUGAAGCUGCAGAAGAUCAAGAAACAGAGACAAAGGCAAUAUUGAAUAGUGACACUUGAAUAAAUCAAGAUAAGAAUUACCUAUUGCAUCAACUGUCCAAUGUUGCGGACACUCACAUCCAGGACGCUUUUUAGAUUGUGUAGGCUGAGAGCAUGCCUGUACUGAUGGAUCCAAUUGUGAUGUGGCCUGAAUCGAAUGAGCUAGCUGUGCUGCAGCCCGAACUGAUGGGGCCGGCUAUGAUGUGGCCCUAGCUGAUGCAGUCUGAUGUGCUGCGGCCUAGACUAAAGGUGUCGGUUGAAAAAAUGAUACCAACUGCGGCGUAUCAUUAAGAUAUGACUUUUGCAACUUUUGGUAAUGCUUGGCCCUUGGCAUAUCUGGAAUCAAUAAAAUAAAUUAACUAUGAAGUUGAGGGAAGUUUAGUCUUUAUACUAAAUUUAAGGUAUAAAGCUAACAAACUAUUGGAUAUCUCCUGGCCAGGGUCUAAAGAGUAGUCACAAACCAACAACAGAGACAGUUAAACAACUUUUGCAAGGAGGAAAAAUAAUUAAGUAGAACCUUACAAGCCACAGAUUUCAUAAUUGAGAGACAUGUUUGAAAAAAGAGCUUAAAUGCACUGUCUAGUUGAGCAUCCACAAGCAUAAUUAAUUCACUUCACAGAAGUCAUUUCAAUCACCAAGUUUUGGUAACGCUACGACGAAACAAUCUCGAUCACACCUUGCAAUAGUUUCUAUACUUUAAUGCUUUAGACUUGAAGAAACUAUAAUUCCUAGUCAGACAUAUGCUCCUCUAUUGCAACUUGGAUAUUCUCAUAGUUAAUAUAAAAAAAUUGUUCCAAUUCUUGUUGUUGGUAUGGCUCAUUCUCGUACAUUUCUUCUUCAUCAACAUUUCCUAUGUCAAACAAAUCUCUUGGCUUUAGAUGCACAUCAACACUCCAUUCUUUAUCAGUUUCAUCAUCAAUAUAGUAGACCAUAUUUUCUUGAGACGCUUCAAUAUAAGGAUCAUGGUCCUUGCGAUCACCCGUGUGAAUCAAUCUAGAAAAAUUAACACAAUUAAAUUUCCAAACAUCUAUUUUGAACCCUCUAUCCUGAGUAGUGUCAGCCCACUGGCAUUUGAAGAGCACAACCAUAAACCGUCCAUAAUAAUUGAGCUCAAUUAUGUCUUCCAACUUCCCAUAAUAUGGCAACUCUACUUGUGUUGCAUUUCUAUCAGCAUUAGAUGCAAUACAAGAGGUGUCAGAGGUAAGAAAAACUCCACUAUUUUGAGUUUUCAAUCCUUGUUAUCUAGACACAGUCCGAAACUUGAAUCCAUUAAUGUUAUAUGCAGUAAACCUUCUUGCAUCUGGCAUUUGACCUUGUGCUAAGAACUCCAAAUCAGUAGAUAUUGUGUUUGCUAUAUCUGGAUUCAUGAUCUGAACAAACAAAAUUAUUUUUUUCUAUUAGAUAAUCUAAAAUAAUACAACUUAUGCAUAAACAGAUAUUAGCUAUAUUAUUCACUCAAUCAUUUUAAAAACCAAUCAGGAAACUCUUUAUUAACUCUUCUCUCUACCUCUGUUGCAGAAAGUCUUCGACCUCUUGAAUUCCUUUUAAUGUGGUUCCUAAAUUCACUACAGAGGAAUCACCUAUAUUAAUUUAAUCAUUUCACUUUAAAAAGUUUGCUAAAAAAUAAAUUACAAUAAACUUUCUUACUCAAUAAAUGGUUUCACUACUGCGCAAUUAAGUAACACGUAUCGAUGAGCUUGAGUCUUCUCCAAAGGAGACAAGGGAAAUAUUGUGGAGCCUCCAAUAGGUUUACCUUGUUGAGGGAACAAAGAUGAUACUUCAGAGGUUUUAUUAUGAUUUAGCUCAUCGUUUACACGUUUAGGCCUAUUUAUCCUUGACUCGAUACCCUCAAAAUAACGAGAACAGAGAGUCAGAGCAUCUUCAACAAUAUAACCUUCAGCAAUAGAACCUUCUGGUUGUGCUUUGUUCCCUACAAGAGACUUGAAAUGACCUAACAAUCUAUAACGAAAAUGAAAUAUUAUUAGAACAAGCAUUCAGUUUGAAUUAAUAUUAAAAUUUUGAUCUAAAGAAUGUUAUGAAAUAAUAAAUUUUUACCUUUCAACAAAAUACAUCCAUCGAUAAUGUACUGGACCACCUUGUAUCACUUCAUCUACUAGAUGGAUAGUUAAGUGAACUAUGGUAGUGAAGAAAGAUGGAGGGAAUAAAAUCGCUAAGUGAGAAAGUGUGAGUACAAUCCGAUCUUGUAGCUUCUCUAGGUCAGAUAGGCUUAAACUUUUCAAACAAAGAUUUCUAAAAAAUGAAGAAAGCUCUACCAAGACUGCAACAACCUCAUUCGGAAGCACAUUUCGAAUUGCAACAGGCAACAAUUGUUCCAUGAUGAUGUGACAAUCAUGACUUUUUAAUCCGAAGAUCCUCUUCUGAUCCGGAUCAAUACAAUCAGAGAUAUUACUUGAGUAACCAUCCGGUACCGAAAUAUUCUUUAAUGUUUUAAGGAGGCGACUCUCUUCUCUUUUGGAAUUUCAAAUGCAGCAAGGCGACAAUUUUCCUUCUCAUCUGGCCAAAGAUAACGCUUUAUACCCAUAGCUUGUAGAUCUUUUCGAGCCUUAACAUGAUCCUUUGAUUUGUCUUUAUCCAUUAGCAAAGUGUAUAUAAUAUUGUCAAACACAUUUUUCUCGAUGUGCAUGACGUCCAAAUUAUGGCACAACGAGUUGAAUUCCCAAUAUGAAAGAUUGAAGAAUAUGCUUUUUUUCUCCACUGCUAGGUUGCACCCUCCCUAUCUUUUCUUUGUCUGUUUCUUUUCUUUCUAGCAUUCAACUCUACUGGCCUUCCAAAUGUAACAUCGAUUUCUUUCACUUGUUGCAAAAUGUCUGACCCCGAUAACUUUCUCGGUGGAUUCCUCUCCUCCACAUCUCCAAAAAAACGAUGCCUCAUCAAUAUAAAUUUGUGAUUUCUUGCCAAAAAUCGACGAUGACCAAUAAAGCACCAUUUUCUACUGUGAGGAAGUCGACAAGGUACUGCGUCAAAAUUACAAGAGGGGCAUGCCAAACCAGUAUGUGUGUUCCAACCAGAUAAGAUAUCAAGUCCAGGAAAAUCACUAACUGUCCACAUAAGAGCUGCUCGCAUUUUGAACAUUUCAUUCUUCGAUGAAUCAUAAGUUUCCACACCUUCAUACCAUAACUCAUUCAACUCCUUAAUAAGGGGUUGUAAGUAUACAUCUAUAUUAUUACCAGCCGUACGUGGACCUGGAAUGAUCAUUGAGAGGGUUAAAUUUGGUUGCUUCAUGCACAACCAAGGUGGAAGAUUGUAUGGAACGAAAACCACAUGCCAAAUACUAUAAUUAGUACUCAUCGUUCCAAAAGGAUUGAAACCAUCACUAGCUAGGCCUAAUCGAACAUUUCGGGGAUUAGAAGCAAAUUCAGGAAAGAUUGUAUCAAACCUCUUCCAUGCCUCACCAUCUCUCGGAUGCCUCAUUAUUCCAUCUUUGUUACUAUCCUCCGCAUGCCAUCUCAUAUGCUCUACAGUCUUAGAACACAUGAAUAAUCUCUGCAACCUUGGUUUUAGUGGAAAGUAACGCAAAAUUUUUGCAGGUUUUUUUCUUCUUCUUACUUGUAGCAGGCACGCGAUGAUUAUUGCCCCUCUCAUUAGGCUUCCAUCUAGAAAUGUGACAAUACUUGCAUGUUUCUUCACUAGCAUCAUCUCCCCAUUACAACAUGCAGUCAUUUGGACAAUCAUCUAUCUUUAUAUAAUCAAGACAAAGCUUUUUGAUGGUUUUCUUGGCCUCAUAAAAAGAAUCAGGGAUACUUGUAAAGUUAAAUGCAUCUCUCAAUAGAUCCAGUAUCAUAGUCAUUCCCUUGUCACUUAGCCCAGACAAACUCUUUAUAUGAUAUAGCUUUAACAAAAACUCUAGCUUUGAGUACUUGGAACCUUUAUACAAUUCUUGACUUUCAUCUCUAAGCAACUCAAAAAAGUCUUUACUAUUUGAAGCAUGCAUAUCAUCUAACAUUUCUUCUUCUCUCCCUGCUUGUGAUGAACCUACAUCAAUACCCUCAUGUCUUAAGCCCUGAAAUGCUUCAUUAAUCAAUAAGUCCACUGGAUUUUCAGCAAGUAGUGUAUCUUGAGUGACCUCUAGUGUAUCUUGAGUGACUUCUAUGUUAUUAAAGUUCAGCAACACAUUUAUUUCGCCAUGAAAAACCCAAGUGACAUAAUCUUGAGGGAAUGACUUGCAGAUUAAAUGAUCGAACACUAUCUCUCUAGUCAACCACUUCACAAAACCACAUUUAGGACAUGGACAUUUUAUUCUAUCUUCUAUAGCUCCAUUUUAAAUGUAAAAUCUAAAAAUUGAUUCAAACCAAACAAAUAUUCAUUUGUGUUCCUUGGCAAUCGAAUCCAAGAUUUAUCCAUUGAAAAAGUAUUUGAAAAGAUCUGAAACCUUUGAGAAGUGCAGCUAAUGACCCUAAAUCAGGUUGUAUGCCACCAGUAAGGACUCUUCUAUUCAAGAGAGUUUGAUAUAACCUACAAGAUUUUCAUGAGGAAAAAUAAUUUAGUAACUUGUCAAUUUUAUAAGAUCAGAGACAUACUUUACAAUUUUAUAAGCUAAAUAAAAGGGAAUAUAAAGUUAGCUAGUUAUCUAGCAUGAACAACAAUGAGAACAUAUUCAAAUGAAUAUAUACUACCAAACUAAGAGUGCUAAACUAAGAGUACAUAUUCAAAUGAACAUAUUCAAAUGAAUCAAUUUUUUUGCUAAUGCAGUCUACAUGAAAAUACCAAUGCAAUCAACAUGAUAUAAAAUAGCACACUCACAAAACUACACCUAGACAUGGUAAGUUUCUGCAUUCCCUUUAAGCACGUCUGUAAGCUGAUGCCUUUUGAACUCACUUUAAUCGUUUACAUUUUGGAGUAGUCUACGGAGAUAAAUGGAUAAAAUUGAGGAAUUAAAUAGUCACAAGCCAGAAGACUACCAUAUAUAUCAAAGAGAUAUAUUCUUCUGCUAACAUUUUACAAAAUUUCUUGAACAAAAAGUAGUAAUACUACAGUAUGAGAAAUAAACUACCAUGUCUAGGGAAAAUCUAAACUCGUACGAAAAGUUAGCAGAAAAUUCCAUAUACAAUUAAUAUAUUUACUCAUUGACUUUGAAGAGAUUGCUCCAGCACCAACCUCAAACGACGCACUAAUAAAAUCAUAAAAAGGAGCAGAGAGAACCUAAAUCAAAUCACAUGCAAAAAUUAUUGAAAUUGGAGCAGAGAAACCUAAAUCAAAUAACAUGCAGAAACUACUAAAAUUAAGAUAUUAGGAAAACAUACUCAAAACCCUAGAUGAAUUAAAAUCGAAUAUAAACAGAUUAGGAAGGAGAGGGCAGAGAGCUGCAAUUCGUGUUGUACCUUUUGUCAGGAGAUUCAACGACAAACACGCUUCAAUUCAAGUUGUAAUUGCUAAAAUUCACAUUAAAAUCGCACAAAUAUCAAACUUAGAGGAAUUAAAAUGGGAUAUCAACUAUUUUCGCAAUGCAGAGACUGAUUUCGCACAACUAUUUUCGCAAUGCACAAAUAUUUCGCACAAAAAUUUUUGCAAUCGGAUAUCACAUUAAAUCGCAACUUAGAGUGAACCCUAAAUCGUUACAGUGAAAGACAAUAAGAGAUUAAAGAGAGAAAGAGAACUUCCCAUUUCAGGAGGAGAAAACCAACCCUAAAUCGUUAGAGUGAAGAGCAUGCACUGUGAUGUGGGCGGUGGGCGGAAAUUUUUACUUUUCAAUGUCUAUAUGGGCAGAAAUUUCUGGAAAAAAAGAGGGAAAGAUUUCGUUCAGGGCUUGUGUGUGCCAGAAAAGUAAAAAGAAAUAAUGGAAAUUGAAUUUUAGUGCAGAAAAGUAAAAAGAAAGAACUGUGCGUUUGAUUGCUUGACAACAAUUGUUUUGGGAUUUGCACCACCAAAAUUUUAAUUUAAGUCUAAGGGAGGUUUCAAACGCCGCAAAUUAAAUUUUAGUGCAGAGGUCAAUAAGCCCCCCUAAAUUAGAUACAAUUUGUGGAGGUUAAUUAUAACCCCCGUAAUAAAACUACCGCAAAUAGACUGUUUUUUAUAGUGAGAUGCAGGUAUUUGUUCACUCGGUAGCGGGUUUUGAGCUGGUCGGAGGCUAAGUUAUCGGAGU
rnacentral:lncRNA from 1 species